CCGCAUCAUACGGCUCCGCCCCGAGCUUCCGUCGUCGGCCCUUGUCAUUAGACCACUAUCUAUGCAUGUAUAUUAAGCCUGGACUCUCGAAUCUUUUGCUUCUCGGGUGGCGGCGAACAAUGCAGCUUGCGUUGCGGGCCCGCAUUUUGUAUUGAAGAGGGGCCCGGCCCACUUCUCGCCCGAAAGAACCGCUCACUAGCUAGCCGGACUAGUGGGGGCCCUAUCUGGAGACAUACUGAAAACCAUGCCCUUCGAACCGAACGCAACGCCCGUCUUCCAAAUCACAAAAAGGGCUCGUUGGG
rnacentral:lncRNA from 1 species